UAGAUCCUGACUUUGCGCCCCUGCCCAAGAACUGAACACAUUCUAGAAUGUGAAGGUGAGGCUGAAGCUCCUCUGCACCAUAACCACAGAGAAAGAAGAAAAACAUGAAAAUUGGGGGCUCAGAGAGAGACUUACUGCCCAUGUGCGUGCACACUUAGUGCCCACCAAGAAGCCCUCAGCUGAAUGACUCCAUGGCUGCAAAAAUGUAUGACCUUGAACAGCACAUCAAGCCCCUGUCUGUUCGCCCUAUGCUCCAGGUCAUUCCAGACUGGCCUGACCGGAGAAACAAGGUCUGAGGUACCCUGGGACCCCAGCCACAGCUCCAGCAGCUCCUCCCAAACUACAGCCUCUUGGAUAUGAACAGCAGAGCCCAGAUUCCUUCGCAGCCGACCUGGGGCUAACCUCCUCCAGGAUCUGUCCCUCUGUCUGCUGCAUGAUGGAAAGACAAGGACUUUCAACAGGUGGCAUGAGGCCAGGGAAACAGCCCCCAUACACACUCGCACUGAUCAUGUUAAUCAGUCUGUUUAAGAAGCAGACUAAAGAUGAAGAUCGUUAAGCUACGAUUCAUA